rnacentral:tRNA from 1 species
UUAAGUUCUUAACCAAAUCUUCAAGUCUCAAAAUCUUACGUGCUGUAACACUAGAAGUUA